GACAGAGGGUGCUAGCGUUGCUCGGAAUUACUGGGCGUAAAGCGUAUGUAGGCUGUUUCAUAAGUCUGAUGUGAAAUCCAGGGGCUCAACCCCUGUGCUGCAUUGGAUACUGUGAGACUAGAGAUCGGGAGAGGUAAGUGGAAUUCCUAGUGGAGAGGUGAAAUUCGUAGAUACUAGGAGGAACACCAAAGGCGAAGGCAGCUUACUGGAACGAAUCUGACGCUGAGAUACGAAAGCGUGGGGAGCAAACAGG
rnacentral:rRNA from 1 species